rnacentral:rRNA from 1 species
UACGUAGGGGGCAAGCGUUAUCCGGAUUUACUGGGUGUAAAGGGAGCGUAGACGGCAGUGCAAGUCUGGAGUGAAAGGCGGGGGCUCAACCCCCGGACUGCUCUGGAAACUGUACGGCUGGAGUGCAGGAGAGGUAAGUGGAAUUCCUAGUGUAGCGGUGAAAUGCGUAGAUAUUAGGAGGAACACCAGUGGUGAAGGCGGCUUACUGGACUGUAACUGACGUUGAGGCUCGAAAGCGUGGGGAGCAAACAGG